rnacentral:rRNA from 1 species
AUUGAACGCUGGCGGCGUGGCUAAAGCAUGCAAGUCGAACGGGUCCGCAAGGACCAGUGGCGGAAGGGUCAGUAACACGAUCGAACGUACCCCGAGGUGGGGGAUAGCGGCGGGAAACUGCCGGUAAUACCCCAUGAUCUCUCCGGAGCAAAGGUUUACCGCCUUGGGCUCGGCGAUCGUCCUAUCAGCUAGUUGGCGGGGUAACGGCCCACCAAGGCUAUGACGGGUAGCAGGUGUGAGAGCACGACCUGCGACAUCGGGACUGAGACACUGCCCGGACUCCUACGGGAGGCUGCAGCGACGAAUCUUCCGCAAUGGGGGCAACCCCGACGGAGCGACGCCGCGUGCGGGAUGAAGCGCCUACGGCGUGUAAACCGCUGUCAGGGGACAGAACCAAUGAUCGUCCCCAGAGGAAGAGACGGCUAACCCUGUGCCAGCAGCCGCGGUAAGACAGGGGUCUCGAGCGUUAAUCGGAAUCACUGGGCUUAAAGGGUGCGUAGGCGGACCGACACGCGUCCCG